UUCCCGAAGCUUCUUCUCCCAUUUUUUUUUUCUUUCUUUUUCUUCUCCUCCUCUUCUCUUCUCCCGAUUUCUCCUUCCCCCUUUCUUCCCAUUUCUUCUCCCAUGGAGGGAGGAGGGCGAGCUCGGGAGGCUUGGGAGGAACGGGCAGCGGCCGAUGGCGCCCGGCGGCCGGCCCGCGGCGUCCACGGCCACACCCGCGGCCGUGCCCGUGGUCGUGCUCGGGGGCGCAUCGGCGGCCCGCGGCCGCGUCUGCCUCCCGCUGCCGGCGACCCGCAUCCCACGGCCGACGACCCGCGGCCCACGGCCGAGGCCGGUGUCCGCGGUUGCGGCUGCGGAUCUCCCACUGGGGAUCGUUCGUCUCCUACUCCGACGAUGCAGCCCUCUGCUCCGACGGCGUGGGUCUAACACCGGAUCCUGCCAACCGUGAAGGUUUGUGAGAGAGAGACAGUGGAGAAGAGGGAAGAGGAUGAUGAAAUUCCCCACCGAUCGAGGCUUCUUGAAGCCUCCGAUUGCUGGGAAAGGCGGGCGGUUCCCAAGCAAUCGCGGCCCAUAUAAUUCAUGGGUGGGCCAGGGCUACUGGCCACGUGAUAUAAUCAUUUUUAUUUUUAUUUUCUGAUUCCGUGAGUGACAGAUGGAAGGUGCCGUUGGGCUAACGUUGUCGGCUAGCUCUGUCCGUGUGCGCUAUUGAAGCGGCCGCGACCAUUAGGCCGCCUUCGUGAUGCCAAUGGGAACUUGUUUAGAAUGACAAUGGGAGUGUUCGGCUCUCCUGCUAAUCUGUUGUCUCUUGUUAAUGCAUGAUAUUUUGGCUUCUAUGCUUAGAAUAACCUGACUAACAUAUCAUACAAAAAUAAAUAAACAAAUAAAUAUCCGUAUUGCUUGUACUGCAAUAGGCGUCAUUAUCAUAUUUUUUUGAGAGAGUUAGAAA